rnacentral:rRNA from 1 species
UACGGAGGGUGCAAGCGUUAAUCGGAAUUACUGGGCGUAAAGCGCGCGUAGGUGGUUUGAUAAGCGAGAUGUGAAAGCCCCGGGCUUAACCUGGGAACGGCAUUUCGAACUGUCAGGCUAGAGUAUGGUAGAGGAGUGUGGAAGUUUCCUGUGUUAGAGCGGAAGU